CCCAAAAUUAAAACCCAAAGUCCAACCCCACCUUUACCCUUGUCGGUUUAGUUUGGCUUAUCCCAAACUCAAACCCCUUAAAACUGAUUUCCUCACUCUCCCCGUAAAAAAACCCCAUACCUCCCUCCUACCCCAUGAAAAACCCGAAACCCAAAACCCUUUUCUUCCUCUCUCAUAUCGUCGGAUACCGUCGGAUUUCCACCCUCCUGCCUCGUCGGAGUUUUGAAUUCGCUGGAGCCGUGUUGAACCAUCGAAACCCUGUUGAUGUUGUUGUUCUUCCAUUCACGUCUCCCCUGUUUGUCCUGCUCGACACUUCUCUCGCGUGACCUGGCGCCGCCUUGUUGUCGCCGGUGUUGCUGUCGUGUUGUUGUUAUUGCGGUGAUUCUUCGCCCCUCUGCUCGCGAUUCCUCUCUUUCAUCCUCGACGUUACUGCUGUACGUGGGUGCUACUGUGCACCGCUGCUUCUUGUGCGCAGGUUGUCGUUGCUGUUGCGGCUGGUGGUUCUCUCUCUGCCGCCACCGUUCUCCUCUCCUUCCUCUCUUGUUCGUGGUGGUGGUGAUUGUUGUAAUCGAUGCACCGCUUCUCUGUUCUUCGCUGCUCUUGAAGUAGAGGUAAUGACUACCUCUUUCUUUUCCACUUGAAAUUCUGAUUUCAUGUUUUGUAAAUUAAAACCAAGUUGCUUUUGUCUGUUGUUGUUGCUGCUGCUGCGUUGUUGCUGGAGCUUUGAAACCUCCCCCUCAACCCUUUGUGACUCUCUUCUUCGCUGCUCUACUUGAGUAGAGAGUGAAACAUUGUUGCAGGUUUGGUGUUGUAAGCUCAGGAUUCUGAAGUGAAGCAAGAUAAAUAUGUCGUCGUAGCUUAUGGAUUGAGUUUGUAUCUAGAUAGUUGAUUUAAGAAUAGUUAUUUAUUGUUCCUUUGUAUAUAAUAUUUGGGAAUCUAAUUGAGAUAAUUGUGUUAUUUUAA